CCUACGGGAGGCAGCAGUGAGGAAUAUUGGUCAAUGGUCGGGAGCCUGAACCAGCCAAGCCGCGUGAGGGAGGAAGGUACAGAGUAUCGUAAACCUCUUUUGUCAGGGAACAAAGGCGGGGACGUGUCCCCGGAUGAGUGUACCUGAAGAAAAAGCAUCGGCUAACUCCGUGCCAGCAGCCGCGGUAAUACGGAGGAUCCGAGCGUUAUCCGGAUUUCUUGGGUUUAAGGGGUGCGCAGGCGGUCUGUUAAGUCAGUGGUCAAAGCCCGGGGCUCAACCCCGGCCCGCCGUUGAAACUGGCAGUCUCGAGUUGGAGAGAAGUAGGCGGAAUGCGCGGUGUAGCGGUGAAAUGCAGAGAUAUCGCGCAGAACUCCGAUUGCGAAGGCAGCAUGCCGGCUCCACACUGACGCUGAGGCACGAAAGCGUGGGUAUCGAACAGGAUUAGAUACCCGAGUAGUC
rnacentral:rRNA from 1 species